rnacentral:lncRNA from 1 species
AUCUCAAUCUCCUCUGGUUUUAAAAUAUUUAACUCUCUGCUCUGUUUCUCAGCUUUAGGAGAUGUCCUUCUCUUCCGCAUCUUCCUCCUUUCCCUCUCCUUGUUGCUUGACCCUCAGGUCUGUGUCCCCCUGACCUUGACCUUGGAAGCAGUCAAUUUAGACAGUACCAGGCCAAACCAUGAGAAUGUGACUCCAGGACUAAUGGGUUGUGUCAGGCAUCUGCAUUCUGAAAUUAAUGGGAAUACCACCAGCUCCCAGGAAGCCCUGCCAAAAAGCAAAGGUGACAACGACUUCUGGCAGCAACAGUGCUGCAGUAAUAGGGCCUUGAUUAAGGUCAGCAAAGGACUGACUGCAGAACAGGACUUCUGGGUCUCAGGCAAAGAAGAAAAGACUUGUAACUAGUGAGGCCAAGAAUUAAAACCGAGGUGAUGAGUUUCCAAGCCACUCAGCAGCGAACCGUGGAGUCAAAGUGAAAACAAUUACCAAGGGUGAGUCUACUCUAUAUGCAGUAGAAAUGCAUAUUCAUACUUCAUUAGCAACUAACUGGGCAUUUCAUAUUCUCCAAUUUCCCUGUACUAAUUGUCUAUCUCAGUAAGUGUAAACUAUUAGAAAGAAGCACAAGUACAGUAUCUUUUGCAUUAUGGGGAAAUGUACCUCCAUCAUUAGGAAGAGAUUUCAGAAAAUGCCAAUAUUAGAUGAUCUCAAAGCCAAGGUUUUGUUUUGUUCUCAUUGCACAGUCUGGUAAAACAUGCAUUCCUAGGUCCCCAGGCCCAAGAAGUUAAGGUAAGAUGGCAUUUAUGGAUAUCAGAUACCAUAAACAUUUGUGAAAAUGAUAAAUGAAGAAGCUACAGAUCUUUUUAAUACCGUCCUCAAUUCACCUCUUGCGUGAAUAUUUGGCCUAAUUAAGUCUGUAAUUGUAACAGUAUUAGACAAAUCUUGUGUAACACAGAAAUACAAACUGUUUUGUGCUGCUAGGAAAGAAAGAAAACAAAGAGACAGAGAUAAGCUGUUGAGAGGGAGAGAGGAAAGAAAGAAGCAAGGAAGGGAGUGAGGGAAGGAAGAAGAAAAGGAGGGAGGGAAUAAUAGUACAACAGUGUAGAUACGAUGAAGAACACUUGGUACUAAGUACUUAGUACUUGGUACUUAGACUUUGGUACUAAGCAACAGUGGGCAAUUUAUUCACUAAACAUCAUAUAUUAUGUUUUAAUAUCAUUGCCAUGGAACUCAGCACAGCUUAAAUCCAGAAAAACUAAAUAAUAAAGUGCAUGGAUACAGGUAUUUGAAAUGCAUUAUUUCCUUAAUUCUAAGAAAUGGCAACCUAUAGUCUUCCAUGCUUAUGCAGAAAGCCAAAAUCAGUUUUUUGGUCUACCAAUAAGUCACCAUAUCUUACCAUGUUUUAUUCUUUUCUGUCUCUUCCCACUUGCCCAAACUAAUUUUGUCUGUCUAUUCCCUUGAAUGUUUAGUUAGAGAAGAGCUAAUUUUGAACUUGUGUUAGAUUCUGGUCACUCAUGGAGAAAUUAAAAUCUUUGAGACAGUGUAGACACUGCCUUACGGAAGUAUUCAACCUGAUCAUAGAACUAGACCAGUUACAUAUUAAACAACUAAAGUACAGUGCCAAAGCAAUUGUCAAUGAGCACAAAAUAAGAUGUUUUCUAUGAUUUAAUUACAUAUUUGUAACACAUAUUUAUGCUAUUUUUGUGGCUUUGUUCUACCAUCCUGUUAUUCUAUUCAGAGUUUACAGAAAUCCUUAAUGAACACUGCUAAAAAUAACUUCCCUCAGAGACAUAUGUGGCUUACCUUGAUAAUGAUGGUCUCAUCACUUCUCUUAUUUUAUUUGUGCAGGUGAUCAUUAAAAUUAAGCUCUUGAUUAAAAUUACUUAGGGUAAUUUAUCUCAGGCUGCAUUCUCACUUAACAAAUGAAGAGAUCCAUAAAUACUGAUGAGGCUGGUUUUCACCAUGCUUCGUAAUUCCUUGGAAUAGAAGGUGUUAUGUUAACAAAAAAUCACGAUAAUUAACUGGAAUCCAAGCCCUGGGUAUCAAUAGACAUUCAUAGUCAUCAGCAAAUGUAACAAAGAAAUUGUC